rnacentral:rRNA from 1 species
CUCAAAGGAAUUGACGGGGGCCCGCACAAGCGGUGGAGCAUGUGGUUUAAUUCGAAGCUACGCGAAGAACCUUACCAGGUCUUGACAUACUAUGCAAAUCUAAGAGAUUAGACGUUCCCUUCGGGGACAUGGAUACAGGUGGUGCAUGGUUGUCGUCAGCUCGUGUCGUGAGAUGUUGGGUUAAGUCCCGCAACGAGCGCAACCCUUAUUAUCAGUUGCCAGCAUUAAGUUGGGCACUCUGGUGAGACUGCCGGUGACAAACCGGAGGAAGGUGGGGAUGACGUCAAAUCAUCAUGCCCCUUAUGACCUGGGCUACACACGUGCUACAAUGGAUGGUACAACGAGUUGCGAACUCGCGAGAGUAAGCUAAUCUCUUAAAGCCAUUCUCAGUUCGGAUUGUAGGCUGCAACUCGCCUACAUGAAGUCGGAAUCGCUAGUAAUCGCGGAUCAGCAUGCCGCGGUGAAUACGUUCCCGGGCCUUGUACACACCGCCCGUCACACCAUGAGAGUUUGUAACACCCAAAGUCGGUGGGGUAACCUUUUAGGAACCAGCCGCCUAAGGUGGGACAGAUGAUUAGGGUGAAG